UCCCUGGUGGCUCAGAGGGUAAAGCAUCUGCCUGCAAUGUGGGAGACCUAGGUUCGAUCCCUGGGUAAGGAA
rnacentral:tRNA from 1 species